rnacentral:rRNA from 1 species
AACAGCUCAAAUUUGAAAUCUGGCCCCAGGCCCGAGUUGUAAUUUGCAGAGGAUGCUUUUGGCGCGGUGCCUUCCGAGUUCCCUGGAACGGGACGCCAUAGAGGGUGAGAGCCCCGUACGGUUGGACACCAAGCCUUUGUAAAGCUCCUUCGACGAGUCGAGUAGUUUGGGAAUGCUGCUCAAAAUGGGAGGUAUAUUUCUUCUAAAGCUAAAUAUAGGCCAGAGACCGAUAGCGCACAAGUAGAGUGAUCGAAAGAUGAAAAGCACUUUGAAAAGAGGGUUAAACAGCACGUGAAAUUGUUAAAAGGGAAGCGCUUGUGACCAGACUUGCGUCCGGUGAAUCACCCAGCUCUCGCGGCUGGGGCACUUCGCCGGCACAGGCCAGCAUCAGCUUGCCGUCGGGGACAAAAGCUUCAGGAACGUAGCUCUCUUCGGGGAGUGUUAUAGCCUGUUGCAUAAUACCCUUCGGCGGGCUGAGGUACGCGCUCCGCAAGGAUGCUGGCGUAAUGGUCAUCAGCGACCCGUCUUGAAC